rnacentral:rRNA from 1 species
UACGUAGGGUGCAAGCGUUAAUCGGAAUUACUGGGCGUAAAGCGCGCGUAGGCGGCUUGGUAAGCUAGAUGUGAAAUCCCUGGGCUCAACCUGGGAACUGCAUAUAGAACUGCUGAGCUAGAGUGCAGAAGAGGAGUGUGGAAUUUCAGGUGUAGCGGUGAAAUGCGUAGAGAUCUGAAGGAACAUCAGUGGCGAAGGCGACACUCUGGUCUGACACUGACGCUGAGGUGCGAGAGCGUGGGUAGCAAACAGG